rnacentral:lncRNA from 1 species
CAAAGGCCGCUGAGAGAAUCGGAGGGGGCAGACGAGAUUAAUUUGUUUCACGCAUUGCUCGUUUUGCGUGUCAAGCAUAUCCAUAUCUUCUUUCACUAUGUGGUUGUAUGUCUGUCUUUGUACACGCGUUUCAUAUUUUCCUUUCUUUAUGAUCAGUCCUAUUUCUUUUUUGCUCCCACAGUUUGAGUCAGCGUAAAAAAAGCGCAUGGCAGCUUCGUGCGUGACAGAAAGAUGGAUGACCGAAAUAUUUCCGCACGCAACUAUUGUUUUUCCCGGGGAAGGUGAUACAAUAUGGGGACCGGACCCCUCCUCUCCCUGUUCCGAACCCCAGCAUUCCUGUGUGUGCACUUCGAGCCGGCCGCGGGAGCGAGCGAGACAGAAUGUUGCUCAAUUACAGUUUGUGUAUAGUGUAAGUGAUUGCGUGUUGACUUACUCAAGCCAGAGGGGGUUUGUCUGAGGUCACAGUCACACAUUCAUGAGUAGUGUCAUGACCUACAUUCUUAGAAAAAAAGGUUCCAAAGGGGUUCUUUGUAGAUGGAUAGGGUUCUUCCAAGAACCCUUUUUGGAAGACAAGGGUUCUUUGUUAGGCAAAGAGUUCAACCUAGAACAUGUUUCAUCCUAAGAGCCGAUUUUGGAAGAAAGGGUUCUUUAGUGAUUCUUUGGAAAGCAAGAAGGGUUCUACAUAGAACCCUUCUGAAUCUGUAUAAGCUAUUUUAUUUAAUUGUUUCUUUAUUUUAAAUUGUGCCUGAGAAAUAAUGUUUACCUCAGUGUUUAAACUUUAACAUCAGGAGUUUGAGUAAUCUCCCUCAUUUAAAAAGAUAGCUGUGAGAAUUGUUUUAACUGUAUAUGGGAAUAUUUAUGCAUGUACUGUAUCUGGUAUUCCCUUAAUCAUUUUACAUAUACAGUACUGACAUAGUUGAUAUCUUUGCCAUGAUUUCUGUUUUUCAAAUGAGUAUUUUCUGUGAAUGUAUUGAGCAGAAAGUAGGAGAAUAGAAGGGAGUAUGAGUGAACCAGCAAUGUAUAGUAUGGUACACAGCAAAUUGGCCAGUUUAACCUAGUGUUGAUUUUUCAGUGUAACAUUUCUAGUGGAUUCAGGAGUUACAUUCAACACUCAGUGGUGUAAAAUAACCCUGUUUUGUUAUGAAUAAACAGAGUUAAGUGUGAUUAUGUAAUUUUUAUCUGUGUGGAGUAAAACACUCAAAACCACACCCAUCAUUAUCAUAUUUCCCAGCAUGCUCUAUUGCAGGUUGAUUUUUCAGAAUUGUUUGUUUCAAUGUCUGUGUUUUGGCAUGCACAUUUAUUGGUUGAUUAAUCAUAUGCUACACAAAGAUUAAUAACAUACAUUUUCAUAAACCAAUCCAAUCUGCUAGUAUUUGUACUUAUUGCACCCAUUACUGAGAUGGUUGUCCUAGUUUAACGAGAGUGACUUACAGUAAUGAGUGCAUACAUUUUUUCUACUUGUUUAUAAUUUUUUGUAUUGGUCCCCAGGGGAAUUGAACCCACAACUCUUGCAUUGCAAGUGCCAUGUUCUACCAACUCAGCCACACGGCUGAUUUCCCACUGAUCAAUGCAUCACUCCCUGCACUUAAAAAGACUACACAUUCUUCCUUCUUAGGGUUUGGGCCAUCUUCAAGUCAAAAGAAAAGACAGAGGCAAACCCUCUCAGAUGAUCGUCCCUAAAACCUAAAACAUCUGCAUAGUAGGAGAUGUCGUUAGCUUUUUCAGGGUAACAAGUACGGACGUCGUCGGACGGGGCCACAGUGUCUCCCGACCCCUCCUGUCUCAGCCUCCAGUAUUUAUGGUGCAGUAGUUUAUGUGUCGGGGGGCUAGUCUGUUAUAUCUGGAGUAUUUCUCCUGUCUUAUCCGGUGUCCUGUGUGAAUUUAAGUAUGCUCUCUCUAAUUCUUUCUCUCUCUUGGAGGACCUGAGCCCUAGGACCAUGCCUCAGGACUACCUGGCCUGAUGACUCCUUACUGUCCCCAGUCCACCUGGCCGUGCUGCUGCUCCAGUUUCAACUGUUCUGCCUGCGGCUAUGGAACCCUGACCGGUUCACCGGACGUGCUACCUGUCCCAGACCUGCUGUUUUCAACUCUCUAGAGACAGCAGGAGCGGUAGAGAUACUCUGAAUGAUCGGCUAUGAAAAGCCAACUGACAUUUGCUCCUGAGGUGCUGACCCGUUGCACCCUCGACAACCACUGUGAUUAUUGUUAUUUGACCCUGCUGGUCAUCUAUGAACAUUUGAACAUCAUAGCCUGGUUCCUCUCUAGGUUUCUUCCUAGGUUCUGGCCUUUCUAGGGAGUUUUUCCUAGCCACCGUGCUUCUACACCUGCAUUGCUUGCUGUUUGGGGUUUUAGGCUGGGUUUCUGUACAGCGCUUUGAGAUAUCAGCUGAUGUAAGAAGGGCUUUAUAAAUACAUUUAAAGUACUGCCCUAAUGGUUUACAUUACUCCAUGAAUUGGUAAUAACAAGUGGUAAUAACACAGUAAUAACAUGGUAAUAACAUAGUAUAAACAGAAAUAACAUGUUAAUAAAUAAGUGUUGUGUGCUUUGGCAUUGCGUGUAUGAACAAUGGUGAUAUUGUCUCUCUCUCCCCUCCUGACUCUGUUCAUGCAUGUUUUAUUUUCCUGAGAGUUCAAAGAAGAAGAAGACAAUCCUCUGGUAGCACAGAAUGUUCUGUCUGUUCUGUCAGACUAGAAUAAAAGACUGAGAGAUGAGUGCACCAAUCUGACCUGUCACCUAAGUGGUUAAUUGCUCUAACUACCAGUCUGUGUAAAGGGGUUAGUUGACCUCCAUAACAAACUCCUGCCCUCAUGCACACACAACAACACGCCCUCACACAGAUGCAAACCCACUCACGAAACAUUCCCUCACACUCACACACACAUACCUGGUUUGAAGGUGUGUGACAGGUGUUUGGUUGUUGCGUGCCAAAGGACUGAAGAUUUCAGCUGCCUUUACAGUCAUUACUCAGAAAGGGAGAUUCUUCAAGAGAAUUUCAAUUUGCUGUGGGCUAAACAGUGUUUUGGUUAUGAUGUGAGCUCUGUAAAUGGACAUCCUCGAUGUAUGUGUGUGACCCUAACGUGACUAAAUAACAGACUACUUGAACAUUUCCUAUUGAUAUUUGUCACAUUAUUGUCCUCAAUUGCUGCCCUAUAUACAUAGCCUUGGAAUCACUGGCCAGUUUAAUAAUAAAACAUUAGUCACUUUAAUAAUGUUUAAAUAAUGUUUACAUACUGCUUUACUCAUCUCAUAUGUAUAUACUGUAUUAUAUUCUACUGUAUUUUAGUCAAUGCCACUCCAACAUUGCUUGAUCUAAUAUUUAUAUAUUUCUUAAUUCCAUUCUUUUACUUUUAGAUUUGUGUAUAUUGCUGUGAAUUGUUAGAUACUACUGCACUGUUGGAGCUAGGAACACAAGCAUUUCGCUACAACCACAAUAACAUAAAUAUGUGUAUGUGACCAAUAAAAUGUGAUUUUAAUUUAAUUCCAUGUAUUUGUGAUUGUUAGACAACCGAACCUGCGUUGCAACAAACUGUUGGAGGUCAUUGAUCAAGUCACUAAUGAUGAGCAGGGAGUGGCGUGUUAGACCAUAACCAUAUAAACAGAGAAGCCUAUUUCAAACGGGUGCGAUCCUGAUGUUUACGUUGAAUGCUGGACCUGUAUGGAAUGUCCGUCCCAUGGCCUGUCACGCUCCCUCUCCUCUCACAAAGCUGUGCGUAAUGCUUAGUGUGAUUAAAUACUUUAUGUUUAUGCUUAAUAAA